UAAGGAAUAUUGGUCAAUGGACGCAAGUCUGGACCAGCCAUGCCGCGUGGAGGAUGAAGGCCCUCUGGGUUGUAAACUUCUUUUAUAUGGGACGAAAAAGGGUCUUUCUAGAUCAACUGACGGUACCAUGUGAAUAAGCACCGGCUAACUCCGUGCCAGCAGCCGCGGUAAUACGGAGGGUGCGAGCGUUAUCCGGAUUCACUGGGUUUAAAGGGUGUGUAGGCGGGUAUUUAAGUCAGUGGUGAAAUCUCCAGGCUCAACCUGGAAACUGCCAUUGAUACUAUUUAUCUUGAAUAUUGUUGAGGUAGGCGGAAUAUAUCAUGUAGCGGUGAAAUGCUUAGAUAUGUUAUAGAACACCGAUUGCGAAGGCAGCUGACUAAGCAUAUAUUGACGCUGAGGCACGAAAGCGUGGGUAGCGAACA
rnacentral:rRNA from 1 species